rnacentral:rRNA from 1 species
GACGAACGCUGGCGGCGUGCCUAAUACAUGCAAGUCGAGCGGGGAUUAUGCUUGAUCGCUUCGGUGAGACGGCAUAUAUCCUAGCGGCGGACGGGUAAGUAACGCGUGGGUAAUCUACCUCGUAGUUCGGGAUAACAGGCCGAAAGGCUUGCUAAUACCGGAUGAGUUCAUGCUUAUGCAUAUAGGCAUGAAGAAAGGGCUAGCCCGCUAUGAGAUGAGCCCGCGUCCCAUUAGCUUGUUGGUGGGGUAAUGGCCUACCAAGGCAACGAUGGGUAGCCGGCCUGAGAGGGUGUACGGCCACACUGGGACUGAGACACGGCCCAGACUCCUACGGGGGGCAGCAGUAGGGAAUUUUCGGCAAUGGGCGAAAGCCUGACCGAGCGACGCCGCGUGAGGGACGAAGGCCUUCGGGUUGUAAACCUCUGUCUGGGGGGAUGAGAACGGACGGUACCCCCGGAGGAAGCCCCGGCUAACUACGUG